rnacentral:rRNA from 1 species
CUACGGGGUGCUGCAGUGAGGAAUAUUGCACAAUGGAGGAAACUCUGAUGCAGCAACGCCGCGUGGAGGAUGACGCAUUUCGGUGUGUAAACUCCUUUUAUGAGUCAAGAAAAUGACGGUAGCUCAUGAAUAAGCACCGGCUAACUCCGUGCCAGCAGCCGCGGUAAUACGGAGGGUGCAAGCGUUACUCGGAAUCACUGGGCGUAAAGGACGCGUAGGCGGGAUAUCAAGUCAGGUGUGAAAUCCUACAGCUUAACUGUAGAACUGCACUUGAAACUGGUAACCUAGAGUAUGGGAGGGGGAGAUGGAAUUAGUGGUGUAGGGGUAAAAUCCGUAGAUAUCACUAGGAAUACCUAAAGCGAAGGCGAUCACCUGGAACAUAACUGACGCUAAGGCGUGAAAGCGUGGGGAGCAAACAGGAUUAGAUACCCUAGUAGUC